rnacentral:rRNA from 1 species
AACGAACGCUGGCGGCAUGCCUAACACAUGCAAGUCGAACGAGACCUUCGGGUCUAGUGGCGCACGGGUGCGUAACGCGUGGGAACCUGCCCUUAGGUUCGGAAUACCUCCCCGAAAGGGGUGCUAAUACGGGAUAAUGUCUUCGGCCCAAAGAUUUAUCGCCUUUGGAUGGGCCCGCGUUGGAUUAGCUAGCUGGUAGGGUAAAAGCCUACCAAGGCGACGAUCCAUAGCUGGUCUGAGAGGAUGAUCAGCCACACUGGGACUGAGACACGGCCCAGACUCCUACGGGAGGCAGCAGUGGGGAAUAUUGGACAAUGGGCGAAAGCCUGAUCCAGCAAUGCCGCGUGAGUGAUGAAGGCCUUAGGGUUGUAAAGCUCUUUUACCCGGGAUGAUAAUGACAGUACCGGGAGAAUAAGCUCCGGCUAACUCCGUG